GGUUUGCUAGGGUUCAUUUGAUCCAGAAAACAGACAGAUUGUCUUCAUCUUCAAGAUGCUCUCAGUGAACUUGAGUCUGUUUGUCACUUUGUUUCUUCUCACAAUAAGAGAGUGCAAAGGAGAAGACAAAGUGAUUCAGCCACUAGAAGAUGUCAUUGCUGCUGAAGGAGACACAGUUACACUGGAAUGUUCUUUUGAAACUAGUAGAACAAGUCCCACUUUGUUCUGGUACAAACAAGAGGUAAAUGGUCAACUAAAGUACAUGCUGAAAAGUUACACUACAUCAGUGGAAAAAGCACCAGAGUUCCAGAAAGACAGAUUUGAUGCUAAACUCAACAAGACAUCAGUUCCUCUGAAGAUCCAGAAGCUUCAGCUGUCUGACUCUGCUGUGUACUACUGUGCUCUGGAGCCCACAUGCUCAUUUUCAAUCGUAUUUGAUGCUAAACUCAACAAGACAUCAGUUCCUCUGAAGAUCCAGAAGCUUCAGCUGUCUGACUCUGCUGUGUACUACUGUGCUCUGCAGCCCACAGUGACAGGAAGUGAGUUUAAGAUUAAGGAUCAGAGUUUGCUUUGA